rnacentral:tRNA from 1 species
CGGAAAGAGAGGGAUUCAC